AUUGAACGCUGGCGGCAGGCCUAACACAUGCAAGUCGAACGAGUGGCGGACGGGUGAGUAAUGUCUGGGAAACUGCCUCAUGGAGGGGGAUAACUACUGGAAACGGUAUCUCACUCCGCCUACCAUCGGAUGUGCCCAGAUGGGCUUAGCUAGUAGGUGGGGUAAAGUCUAACAUAGGCGACGAUCCCUCGCUGGUCUGAGAGGAUGACCGGCCACACUGGAACUGAGACAAGGUCCAGAAUCCUACGGGAGGCAGCAGUGGGGAAGAUGGCGCAAUGGGCGAAAGCCUGAAGCAGCCAUGCCGCGUGUGUGAAGAAGGACUUCGGGUUGUAAAGUACUUUCGGCGGGGAGGCGUUAGCGGCAGAGAAAGCACCGGCUAACUCCGUGCCAGCAGCCGCGGUAAUUC
rnacentral:rRNA from 1 species